UACGUAGGGUGCGAGCGUUGUCCGGAAUUACUGGGCGUAAAGAGCUCGUAGGUGGUUUGUCGCGUUGUUCGUGAAAACCGGGGCUUAACCCUCGGCGUGCGGGCGAUACGGGCAGACUUGAGUACUGCAGGGGAGACUGGAAUUCCUGGUGUAGCGGUGAAAUGCGCAGAUAUCAGGAGGAACACCAAUGGCGAAGGCAGCUCGCUGGAACGGUACUGACGCUGAGGCGCGAAAGCGUGGGGAGCAAACAGG
rnacentral:rRNA from 1 species